rnacentral:rRNA from 1 species
UACUCGAGUGGCGAACGAGUGAGUAACACGUGGGUGAUCUGCCCUGCACUCUGGGAUAAGCCUGGGAAACUGGGUCUAAUACCGGAUAGGACCAUGCUUUAGUGUGUGUGGUGGAAAGUUUUUUCGGUGUAGGAUGAGCCCGCGGCCUAUCAGCUUGUUGGUGGGGUAAUGGCCUACCAAGGCGGCGACGGGUAGCCGGACUGAGAGGUUGGUCGGCCACAUUGGGACUGAGAUACGGCCCAG